rnacentral:rRNA from 1 species
UAAACACGCUCCCAACCCCUUACGGGGGAACAGGAUGCGGCAUUUGGCUCCCCGUCACCCAAGGGCGGUGGGCCGAAGAUAUGGCUGCCGGCGCAUCGUGUCGGACACAGCGCGUGGUGAGCGUCCUCGCUAUACUUACCGCAGUGUCUCCGACACRUAGCCGGCGUGAUGGCCUAGAAUGACCCUUGUAACGGUGCGCAUGACGCUCCGACC